GACGAACCGAGCGAACGUUGUUCGGAAUCACUGGGCUUAAAGGGCGCGUAGGCGGGCAUUCAAGUCUGUGGUGAAAUCCUCCGGCUCAACCGGAGAACUGCCAUGGAUACUGGGUGUCUCGAGGGUGGUAGGGGUAUGCGGAACUAUCGGUGGAGCGGUGAAAUGCGUUGAUAUCGAUAGGAACUCCGGUGGCGAAGGCGGCAUACUGGACCACAUCUGACGCUGAGGCGCGAAAGCCAGGGGAGCGAACGGG
rnacentral:rRNA from 1 species